AUUGAACGCUGGCGGCAGGCUUAACACAUGCAAGUCGAACGAUGAAACCUAGCUUGCUAGGUGGAAUAGUGGCGGACGGGUGAGUAACACUUAGGAAUCUACCUAAUAGCGGGGGAUAGCCCGGGGAAACUCGGAUUAAUACCGCAUACCUUCCACGGAAGAAAGGGGGCAGUUUACUGCUCCCACUAUUAGAUGAGCCUAACUUGGAUUAGCUAGAUGGUGAGGUAAGAGCUCACCAUGGCGACGAUCCAUAGCUGGUCUGAGAGGAUGAUCAGCCACACUGGGACUGAGACACGGCCCAGACUCCUACGGGAGGCAGCAGUGGGGAAUAUUGGACAAUGGGGGCAACCCUGAUCCAGCCAUGCCGCGUGUGUGAAGAAGGCCUUUUGGUUGUAAAGCACUUUAAGCAGUGAAGAAGACCCCUUAGUUAAUACCUGAGGGUGAUGACAUUAACUGCAGAAUAAGCACCGGCUAACUCUGUGCCAGCAGCCGCGGUAAUACAGAGGGUGCGAGCGUUAAUCGGGAUUACUGGGCGUAAAGCGAACGUAGGUGGUUAGAUAAGUCAGAUGUGAAAGCCCUGGGCUCAACCUAGGAACGGCAUCUGAAACUGACUAACUAGAGUAGGUGAGAGGAAAGUAGAAUUCCAGGUGUAGCGGUGAAAUGCGUAGAGAUCUGGAGGAAUACCGAUGGCGAAGGCAGCUUUCUGGCAUCAUACUGACACUGAGGUUCGAAAGCGUGGGUAGCAAACAGG
rnacentral:rRNA from 1 species